CCCAGAUGCCACAGUGGGACCUGCCUCUCCCCAGUGUUGUUCUGCUAAAAAUAAGACAGGGAGCAGAGGGGAGAUUCAGUGAUGCCCGCAGCCCUGCCCUUCCCAUGUCCACUGGCCGGAGCCCUGCCCCAGAGUGACGACUCCACUAGUGGCUCCCGUGAGGCUGCCAGGUGAAAGUGGCAUCUGAAGGUGGCCUCCUGUGACAGUUUCCGGUGACGCUGAGAACUGCCGUGUGAGCACUGCCCUG